AGAGUUUGAUCAUGGCUCAGAAUCAACGCUGGCGGCGUGCCUAACACAUGCAAGUCGCACGAGAAAGUGGAGCAAUCCAUGAGUAAAGUGGCGUACGGGUGAGUAACACGUGACUAACCUACCUUCGAGUGGGGAAUAACCUCGGGAAACCGGGGCUAAUACCGCAUAACAUCUUCUGGCUGAGAUGCCGGUUGAUCAAAGUAGUAAUGCGCUUGAGGAGGGGGUCGCGGCUGAUUAGCUAGUUGGUGGGGUAACGGCCCACCAAGGCGAUGAUCAGUAGCCGGCCUGAGAGGGCGCACGGCCACACUGGAACUGAAACACGGUCCAGACUCCUACGGGAGGCAGCAGUGGGGAAUUUUGCGCAAUGGGGGAAACCCUGACGCAGCAACGCCGCGUGGAGGAUGAAGUCCCUUGGGACGUAAACUCCUUUCGACCAAGACGAUAAUGACGGUACUGGUGGAAGAAGCACCGGCUAACUCUGUGCCAGCAGCCGCGGUAAUACAGAGGGUGCGAGCGUUGUUCGGAAUUAUUGGGCGUAAAGGGCGCGUAGGCGGUGCCACAAGUCACUUGUGAAAUCCCCCGGGCUUAACUCGGGGCCUGCAGGCGAAACUGUGGUGCUGGAGUAUGGGAGAGGUGCGUGGAAUUCCCGGUAUAGCGGUGAAAUGCGUAGAUAUCGGGAGGAACACCUGUGGCGAAAGCGGCGCACUGGACCAUAACUGACGCUGAGGCGCGAAAGCUAGGGGAGCAAACAGGAUUAGAUACCCUAGUAGUCC
rnacentral:rRNA from 1 species